rnacentral:rRNA from 1 species
UUGGAGGGCAAGUCUGGUGCCAGCAGCCGCGGUAAUUCCAGCUCCAAUAGCGUAUACUAAAGUUGUUGCAGUUAAAAAGCUCGUAGUUGAACUUCGGAAUCAAUGGAUUGGUCAUGCCGUUGGUAUGUACUGGUCAUAUUGGUUCUCACCUUCUAAGGAACCAUAAUGUCAUUCAUUUGAUGUUUUGGGGAAUUAGGACUGUUACCUUGAAAAAAUUAGAGUGUUUAAAGCAGGCUAACGCUUGAAUACAUUAGCAUGGAAUAAUGAAAUAGGACAUCGCAUUCUAUUUUGUUGGUUUCUAGGAUCGAUGUAAUGAUUAAUAGGGAUAGUUGGGGGCAUUAGUAUUCAAUUGUCAGAGGUGAAAUUCUUGGAUUUAUUGAAGACUAACUACUGCGAAAGCAUUUGCCAAGGAUGUUUUCAUUAAUCAAGAACGAAAGUUAGGGGAUCGAAGACGAUCAGAUACCGUCGUAGUCUUAACCAUAAACUAUGCCGACUAGGGAUCGGAUGAUGUUGAUUUUUUAAUGACUCAUUCGGCGCCUUACGGGAAAC